rnacentral:lncRNA from 1 species
UGAGGAUUUUGGGGUAUUUUAGGUGGAUUUUGGGGCAUUUUUUGGGGUGAUUUUGGGACAUUUUGGGGUGAAUUUGGGGUAUUUUUGGGCAGAUUUAAGGGGGAUUUUGGGGUGAAUUUGGGGGAUUUUGGGACAGAUUUAGGGAGGGAUUUUAGGGAUAUUUGGGGGUGAUUUUGGGGAUAUUUUGGGGAUAUCUUGGCGAUAUUUUGGGGUGAUUUUGGGGAUAUUUGUGGGUAUUUUUGGGUGAUUUUGGGGAUAUUUUGGGGUAAUUUUGGGAUAUUUCAGGGAUAUUUUGGGAAUAUUUUGGGAUACUUUGUGGAUAUUUUGGGGACAUUUCAGGGAUAUUUUGGGGUGAUUUUGGGCAUAUUUUGUGGAUACUUUGGGGAUAUUUUGGGGAUAUUUCGGGGAUAUUUUGGGGUGAUUUUGGUGUUAUUUCGGGGAUACUUUGUGGAUAUUUUGGGGAUAUUUCAGGGAUAUUUCGGGGCUAUUUCGAGGAUAUUUUGGGUAUAUUUUGUGGAUACUUUGGGGAUAUUUUGGGGAUACUUUGGGGAUAUUUCAGGGAUAAUUUGGGGAUAUUUCGGGGAUAUCUUGGGGAUAUUUUGGGGGUAUUUUGUGGAUAUUUUGGGUAUAUUUUGUGGCUACUUUGGUGAUAUUUUGGGGAUAUUUCGGGGAUACUUUGGUGACAUUUUAGGAAUAUUUUGGGUAUAUUUUGUGGAUAUUUUGUGGAUAUUUUGGGGAUAUUUUGGGGCUAUUUCAGGGAUAUUUCAGGAAUAUUUUGGGGAUAUUUCAAGGAUAUUUCAGGGAUAUUUCAGGGAUAUUUUGGGGAUAUUUCGGGGAUAUUUCAGGGAUAUUUCAGGGAUAUUUUGGGGAUAUUUCGGGGAUAUUUCAGGGAUAUUUCAGGGAUAUUUUGGGGAUAUUUCAGGGAUAUUUCGGGGAUAUUUCAGGGAUAUUUCGGGGAUAUUUCAGGGAUAUUUCGGGGAUAUUUCGGGGAUAUUUCAGGGAUAUUUUGUGGAUACUUUGUGGAUAUUUUGGGAAUAUUUCAGGGAUACUUUGGGGAUAUUUCAGGGAUAUUUCGGGGAUAUUUCAGGGAUAUUUCAGGGAUAUUUCAGGGAUAUUUCGGGGAUAUUUCGGGGAUAUUUCGGGGCUCUUUCGGGGACAUUUCGGGGCGUUUGGAGCCCGCACUCACUGCGGUAGCUGAGGUUCUCCGGGUACUCCACCUCCCCGCGCGCCAGGUCCCCGUUGGCUCUGCGGGCUGGGGACCCCUGGGUGAGCCCCCCACCCAAAAUUGGGGCUGGGUGGGACCCCCCGGCCCCCCCCG